GAUGAAGAACGUAGCGAAAUGCGAUAAGUAAUGCGAAUUGCAGAAUUUCCGUGAGUCAUUGAAUCUUUGAACGCACAUUGCGCCCACUGGUAUUCCGGUGGGCAUGCCUGUUCGAGCGUCAUUAUCCUCCCUCAAACCCCGGGUUUGGUGUUGGACCCAAGUUGUGUGAACAACUGGUCUUAAAGACAAUGACGGCGUCCGUGGGACCCUCGGUGCAACGAGCUUUUAGGAGCACGCAUCGAGUUGCAAGGACCUUCCGGGCCGGUCUCCUUUACUAUUUUACAAGGUUGACCUCGGAUCAGGUAGGAAUACCCGCUGAACUUAAGCAUAUCAAUAAGCGGAGGA
rnacentral:misc_RNA from 1 species